CCUACGGGAGGCAGCAGUAGGGAAUCUUUCACAAUGGGCGAAAGCCUGAUGGAGCAACGCCGCGUGCAGGAUGAAGGCCUUCGGGUUGUAAACUGCUUUUAUAAGCGAGAAAUAUGAUGGUAACUUAUGAAUAAGGAUCGGCUCACUACGUGCCAGCAGCCGCGGUCAUACGUAGGAGCCGAGCAUUAUCCGGAGUGACUGGGUGUAAAGAGUUGCGUAGGUGGCAUAAUAAGUAGCUAGUGAAAUCUGGUGGCUCAACCAUUCAGACUAUUAGCUAAACUGUUAGGCUCGAGACCGUUAGGGGUAACUGGAAUUUCUAGAGUAGGGGUGAAAUCCGUAGAUAUUAGAAGGAACACCGAUAGCGUAGGCAGGUUGCUGGGACGGUUCUGACACUAAGGCACGAAAGCGUAGGGAGCAAACGGGAUUAGAUACCCCAGUAGUC
rnacentral:rRNA from 1 species